UCAAAAUAUAGAUAUUGUGCCGGCACCACCAAUGCCCAAGUGUAAACCGCCUACUCUGCGUUUGGAGAUAAUGGACGAACACGCCGGUUACACAACAGUAGGCCUCUCUCCCCAGAGAGACCUACUGCCUCCGAGGGAAGCUCAGCGGCACUUUAAGGUCGGAAACGGAACUCAAACCCGCACACACGGACAGUCAAUCACGAGUUAUGUCUGUUGUGUUAAGUAAAGAUUCUCAAAGCACUUUUACAGCGAUUCUCACAGCAGACCGCCAAAAUACGAGGAAAAAUCACGACAGCAAAAAACGGAAAUGAAAACAGACCUUAAAAAGAACUGCGCCUGCAAUAUUACAAACAGUGUGUCCUUAUUUACAUAAAAGUGAGUCAGGCUGCCCACUGUGGCUGAGAGGGUCCUCCGCCACAUCGCACAAGGUCAAGG
ensembl:lncRNA